rnacentral:rRNA from 1 species
UACGUAGGGCGCAAGCGUUGUCCGGAAUUAUUGGGCGUAAAGAGCUCGUAGGCGGUUCGUCGCGUCGGCUGUGAAAUCCCGAAGGCUCAACCUCGGGUCUAGCAGUCGAUACGGGCGGACUGGAGUUCGGCAGGGGAGACUGGAAUUCCUGGUGUAGCGGUGAAAUGCGCAGAUAUCAGGAGGAACACCGGUGGCGAAGGCGGGUCUCUGGGCCGAUGACUGACGCUGAGGAGCGAAAGCGUGGGGAGCGAACAGG